GGGCUCGUAGCCUAACCUGGAUAUGGCACCAGCCUUCUAAGCUGGAGACUGUGGGUUCAAAUCCUACCGGGCCCG
rnacentral:tRNA from 1 species